rnacentral:rRNA from 1 species
AUACGGAGGGUCCAAGCGUUAUCCGGAAUCAUUGGGUUUAAAGGGUCCGUAGGCGGUCAAUUAAGUCAGAGGUGAAAGCCCAUCGCUCAACGAUGGAACUGCCUUUGAUACUGGUUGACUUGAGUUAUACGGAAGUAGAUAGAAUAAGUAGUGUAGCGGUGAAAUGCAUAGAUAUUACUUAGAAUACCGAUUGCGAAGGCAGUCUACUACGUAUAUACUGACGCUGAGGGACGAAAGCGUGGGGAGCGAACAGGAUUAGAAACCCUAGUAGUCC